rnacentral:rRNA from 1 species
GAUGAACGCUGGCGGCGUGCCUAAUACAUGCAAGUCGAGCGAACGGACGAGAAGCUUGCUUCUCUGAUGUUAGCGGCGGACGGGUGAGUAACACGUGGAUAACCUACCUAUAAGACUGGGAUAACUUCGGGAAACCGUAGCUAAUACCGGAUAAUAUUUUGAACCGCAUGGUUCAAAAGUGAAAGACGGUCUUGCUGUCACUUAUAGAUGGAUCCGCGCUGCAUUAGCUAGUUGGUAAGGUAACGGCUUACCAAGGCAACGAUGCAUAGCCGACCUGAGGGGGUGAUCGGCCACACUGGAACUGAGACACGGUCCAGACUCCUACGGGAGGCAGCAGUAGGGAAUCUUCCGCAAUGGGCGAAAGCCUGACGGAGCAACGCCGCGUGAGUGAUGAAGGUCUUCGGAUCGAAAAACUCUGUUAUUAGGGAAGAACAUAUGUGUAAGUAACUGUGCACAUCUUGACGGUACCUAAUCAGAAAGCCACGGCUAACUACGUG